rnacentral:rRNA from 1 species
UAUACAACUUUCAGCAACGGAUCUCUUGGCUCUCGCAUCGAUGAAGAACGCAGCGAAAUGCGAUAAGUAAUGUGAAUUGCAGAAUUCAGUGAAUCAUCGAAUCUUUGAACGCACCUUGCGCUCCUUGGUAUUCCGAGGAGCAUGCCUGUUUGAGUGUCAUUAUAUUCUCA